rnacentral:misc_RNA from 1 species
CUUGUAUAGCGAGUACACUAAAUAAUUUCCCGUUAUUAUCUUUCUACUUUGAUCCACUCUAGGAACCAAACAAAGAGUAGAAGUUUGCAGCUUUCACACCCUCCACCUCUCUAAUGAAGUUUCCUUCUGUUCUUAAAAAGUUCAGUUCCUUCACCUCGAUGCAAAAGAGACAUUCCUCAGGAACCUAGUUAAGUGGGAAAAGCAUACUCACUUCUCCAAAACAAAUUUACCGACAAGCUUAGGCAAAAGGUAGAGAAUUGCUUGCCUCUCCCCAGCUCAACAAGGAAUCUCUCCUUACACUCCCUUAAAACUUCCUCUUCCACUGCAAAUUUCUUCAGCAAACAAGCUACUAACCAGAGAUGGAGAAUUCUAUUAGGCAAGACCUCGUCGAAAGGUACGAGGAUAGCGGUGAUUAUUACUGUCUCAAUGAUGAUGAUCCUGAUGAAUCUCAUUACCUAUAUCUAGUCAAUGCAAUCCUCAGUGGCACUGCUAGGCUUAAUGUUCUCUUGCCAACUGCUACAAUCCUUGCCUUCACUAUUUUCGCUCCUCUUCUAACCAACGAUGGCCAAUGCACUUGUUUGAAUCGCUGGCUGAUGGGUAUUUUCUGGGCUCUUCUGGCUGCCUCC